rnacentral:rRNA from 1 species
UACGUAGGGGGCAAGCGUUGUCCGGAUUUAUUGGGCGUAAAGAGCGUGUAGGCGGCUUGGCAAGUCUGCUGUGAAAACUCGAGGCUCAACCUCGAGCUGUCGGCGGAAACUGCUUGGCUAGAGUCCGGAAGAGGAGAGUGGAAUUCCUGGUGUAGCGGUGAAAUGCGCAGAUAUCAGGAAGAACACCUAUGGCGAAGGCAGCUCUCUGGGACGGUACUGACGCUGAGGAGCGAAAGCGUGGGGAGCGAACAGG